rnacentral:rRNA from 1 species
AUUGAACGCUGGCGGCAGGCCUAACACAUGCAAGUCGAACGAGUGGCGGACGGGUGAGUAAUGUCUGGGAAACUGCCUGAUGGAGGGGGAUAACUACUGGAAACGGUAGCUAAUACCGCAUACCAUCAGAUGUGCCCAGAUGGGAUUAGCUAGGUGGGGGGGUAACGGCUCACCAAGGCGACGAUCCCUAGCUGGUCUGAGAGGAUGACCAGCCACACUGGAACUGAGACACGGUCCAGACUCCUACGGGAGGCAGCAGGGGGGAAUAUUGCACAAUGGGCGAAAGCCUGAUGCAGCAAUGCCGCGUGUAUGAUGAAGGUCUUCGGGUUGUAAAGUACUUUCAGUGGGGAGGCGGUACCCGAAGAAGAAGCAACGGCUAACUCCGUGCCAGCCGCCGCGGUAAUAC